GGCCGGGGCUGCGGGGGGCUGCCGUCCGCACCUCGGAACGGCGCUCGGGGGGGCCGCUGGUGGUGUUUGCACAGAGUCGCGGAGUCACGGAAUAUCCCGAGUUAAAGGGACCCACGAGUGUCACCGCCAAUCGGGAACAAAACGCCUUAGGGCCAGUGUAGCACGAAGGAGCGGGCGCUGCUUUUUCGCAGCUCCCGGCCCACGGUGGGAUGACUCCGCCCGGCGUCCGUGCCGGGCUCAAGGUGAUGCACUCGUGAAGUCACUGGAGACUGCGCAGUUCAUCUGAGAGGGUCUUUUGGGGGAUCCUUUGUGGACCCCAGGUGGUUGCUGAGCCUCUGAACUUCGGCCGACCCCGCACCGCGAUCCUCCCGUGCGGGGCUGGGUUUAGCUCUGGUUAUGUAAUCUCUGAACAAACUGGACUGGACUGGUUUGACUCGUUACAGAGGCUGUUACAGGAACCCUCCAGGUUCCGCUCUCCGUUAUUCCUUCCUGAGCUAUGUACAGCACGAGGAUCAUCGAGUCCAGCUCUCGGCGAUGCCCCGUGUGCCUCAGAGCUGCCUCUUUUGCCUCAUUGUCCAAAUGCUCCUGAACCCAGACAGGCUUGGUGCUGAAGAAGGAGCCCAGGAGUGUAGUGUGGGUGCCAGAAGGCCGACAAGCAUUUCACCUGAGCAGGCAGAGUGUUUUGUAAACAAUACAAGCGAAGGAUAGCAUGUUGCAUGAAAUCGUCUUCUCAUUUCAAGAGAGGCAACACCACUGGGAUGGAGAAAAGAGUAGUUCCUUCAAAAUGUAAAGGGUUCCUUUAAAGACAUGUUCUCACCUAUGCAUUAGGGAAACAGAAAAAAGGAGGUGGGGGAUCACUUCACAAAUCACGGGCUGUCCUGCAGUGCUCCCAGUAAGCUGAGAGACAGUACCUGAGGGGGCAGUUUAUGGAAAACCUGCAAGUAGUCAAGAUCUGUUCAGCAACUGACAAACCACAGAUAAUGGUCAUCUUCAGAACCAUUAGUGUUAAAUGCCAAAACACCUAGGAGAGAAGUAGCAAGCUUCUUACAUAUUGUGGGGAGUUGGACUUGAUGAUCUCAGAGGUCCUUUCCAACCUGGCUGAUUCUGUGAUUCUGAAUAUUAACCCGUUGAACUUUUUGUUCCAUGGGCUUCCCUCACACCUGAGGGAUCAAGACUGUGACCACCACUUUGAUCAGUGGACAUCUAAAUUGCAACAAUCAAGGCUCAGUGCUGCAUUCACAGGCCUGUGAGACUCAUCACAGUUGGGCCUCCUGGAGACCAUAUAACAAAUGGAACCAAAUUGCAUCAGAAGAGUGGACAGAAGACUUACCCACAGAUCUUCACAACUAUUUCAAUGAAUUACCUUCCACAGCCGAGCCAUCAAAUAUAAGAAUUGUAUAUAUGCACCCAGCAGAACGUGAUGCACUCCAUUGCAUCCAUCAUAUGUCUUCAUGGAAACAAUGUGAUGCUGCACUGAGCAAACACUGCUCAUCAGCAUUGAACCAGUCAACGAAGGAUGGAGUCAUCCAUUUGCAAGUAGUAGUAUUUUCACAAAAUAACUGUCCUGUGUGCCUCGAUGUCUUUCUGGGGAGAUUUACAAAAAAAAUUACCUUCAAAACCAAAACUGGGAGCAAACAUUCACACAAGGGGACUAAAAAUCCCUAACUGAAUUUUAAAAAAAUACUGGAUUUUGAUGUAUAAUUAUAAAAUUGUUUUGGUUGGAAAAGACCUUUAAGAUCAUGAAGUCUAACCAUUUAACCCAGCAUGGCCAAGUCCACCAUUAAACCAUGUCCCUCUGUGUCACAUCUCUGCAUCUCUUAGAUGAAUCCAACCAUAGUGAUUCCACCACUUCUGGGGGCAGGUUGUUCCAGUGCUUAACUACCAUUUUAGUGAAGAAAUUUUUUGUAGUAUGUUUCUCUCUAUAUGCAUAAUCUAAAAUUUCACUGCAAAUGUUCACUACUGGCACUCACUUUUACUCUGUCCCUUGCUAAUAUUUGCCACACUCUUAGUGCAGAGCACGUUUUUUUGCCUAGUUUUUUAAUGAUGGUUUGUACAAUUCAGUUAAAUUUAGAGCAAGUGUUCUUACCUUGACAUGUGCUAUUUGUUUGAUUUCUCAAAAGAUUUUAAUCUGGUUUGAUUUAUCCCUCAACUUUCUGUUACUUUCUAUUAUGCAAUAAUAGAAAUUCGUACAUGAAUACCUGUUAGUGUUACUGUGACUGAACAUUCUUGUGGACAUAUGUGCCUAGAUGAAGAUUCUUAAGGCUUUCCCAUGUGCCAGACUUAACUAGACUAAUUCAUGUAAUGAAAUUCUAUAGUCUGCAGUCUAAAAAUAAUUGUUUUCAGUCUGUUUAUGUUUAUUAACAUUUUUGGAGCAGUCAGCCUGAGCACUCUUCCAUAGUCUGGAGCCAACACAAAGCAGUUAGACAACAUAUAUUUCUAGUAUACAGUUAAUAUGCAGAAUAAAGAAUGUAUUGUAAAUCUUGGUAAGAUUUAAGAGAGCUCAUUAACUUACAGAGAUUCUCAGUACCUACAUGUUAAAUCUUUUCUUUCCUUCUUAACUCGGAAAGGAAACAUACAUAGCAUUUAGGUUCAAUUACAUAAAGCAGGUAGUUAAUGAUCACCUCAACCUCCAAGUGAUAGUGUUUAGUGGUCAUUAUAAUUUCAGGACAGUUUCCUUCAUUCUUUUCUGUGGCUUACCUGUGCCUUUUAAACAUCUUGAAUGUUUCCAUGUACUGUAUACUUUUAAAAUCAAAAUUAACGUGAACAUGUCACAGGUAAGUGGAUGGUUCUAAAAUGUAUUUUCUCUCAAUCUUCCACAAACGUAUUUUUGGAAUGUACUGAGCAAUGACUGACAAGACUUCACUGUGCUGUUUCAGAUCCAACAUAUGAAUUUGUAAUCUGGGAACACAUCUCAUGAUAUGGAGUUCAUUAGUUUACUCUUUUAUACUGUUUUCUGUACCCUGCAGGUCCUACAAUACAGAUGGCUAUAAAGCAAUCUAUCAUAUUUUAAACAAACUCAAACAAUCUUCAUUCAAAUGUUUCACUGUGGAAAACAUAUUCCUGUCUGAGCAGAGUUAGGAUUUCACUUUUUUUUUUUGGUGAAAGUUUCAAUUUAACUCUCUUCUACAUUGAUAAAAAAUUAUAUAAUCAUAUGAUAAUUGGGAAUAAUAAUAAAAAAAUAAAUAAUACCCCAUGGAAAUUAAAUCAGUAUUGACAAAUAUAGGAAAGUCAACUCAAACCGUUCUGUCUUGACUUUUUAAUGAACCAAGUGAAUCUAAAAUAAGCCAACCAGCCUAUCAGCAAAGACAUUGCAGAAAGAAGACUGUUUGAAAAAUACUGAGGUAAAUGUUUCCUAUUAAUUUUUGAUCUAGAGUGGAUUUACUUCCAUUAAGAAAGCAAAAUAAUGUAUAAGUUCCUGCUAUUAGGAGAUGUUUAGAAUUAACCCCCAGAAAAAAAAGCUUACCAUGCAAGGAAGUCUUAACUGCUCGCAGAAAUCAUCAGUCUUUGCAACAGGAUAGUAUCCAAACACCUUGGGUUUUAAGAGAUUGUUGUUUUGUACUGUAGCACAAUUGAGUAAGGUGAUUCCUGAAGUUUUUUCACCUAUGUUUGCAGAGAAUCCAAAGGUACGAUUUUUGGUCAUGCAGGUAGAAAAUAAAUCUUUCUUUCUUUGUAGACAACUUGUGAAUCAGAGGAGACAAGGAACAUGGAUUUUCCAAAUAGUAACCUUCGUGUGCAUCCUGUGUGGGAAGAGGGAAUGCCAGCCAGGGAUUUAGAUUGCAGCUGUAGUUUGUCAGCUGGGGGGCUGAAGCUAUUGCUGCCUCUGUCUUAGCGUGUUGUGCUCACCUUCUCACCAUCUCACACACAGUGUCUGCACAGCAGCUGGUUGUGAAUGGUGUCAGGACUGCUGCAGGGUACAUGCACAUGAGCAGGCAUUCAUGCAUACUGGAGCACAUACUGGAGCAGUUUGGGGCCAGCAACUGCAUCGCUGCUGCUAAGUCCUGACAAAUGACUCUUUGUUUAGCUAGACACAGAGAAAUGUAACAGGAAGAUGUAGGUUGGUAUUGAUGGGAGUGUCUGCUUGUGAAAGUACCAGGACAAACAAGAAACAGCAGCAGAGGAGGUGGAGACAUGGAAUGUGCUGAUGACCCCUUUCUUAGAAGAUCAUCAAGAUCCCAUGAAAUCUGUGUCCAUCAUUGCAGGACACCCAGAUUGUGAGUCAAAGGACAGUUGGUAAAUCCCAGUGAGUAAGAGAGGUGGGACAGGGUGAUUAUAAUCUUCUAAGAGGUAAAACCAGUACAACCAAAGCUAGCAUUUCAGCAGUCACCUAAAAAUGGACCUAGGAGAAAUGCUGAGGAUUGAUAGUCUACAUGCCUUGUCCUUUGCACUGUCAACGAAAUCUGAGUGCUGCAAAGACACUCGGCAGCACACUAAGUGGCACCUGGUGCUUGACAGAUGACAGACCUCUUGGACACACACUUCUUGGUGCUUCUGAGUAUGUGGAUAUUGACAGUGUGGGUGAAAUCAAUUUUAUUUUAAAAUAAAAA